GCAAAGUUUGAUUCUGGCUUUCAAUUUAAAUUAAAGAUUAUUUUACAUGUAAAUUUUUAUAUUUUUAUUAAUUUCUAAAUGAAUAAAAAAGUAUCACAGUAUAUAAUAUUGUAUAUUAUUAAAAUUAGAUAUAGUAAUUUUUAUUAGAGUGGACAAAAUUCGUGCCAGCAGUCGCGGUUACACGAUUCAUUCAAUUUAAAUAUUAAUAUUUCAGUUAUAAUUAUUAUUGAUUUAAAAAUUUAUAAAUUUUGGUGAAAUAUAUCGUUAAUAUUAUUCUUUUAUUGUGUCUGAUAAACCUUUCUAUAAACUAGGAUUAGAUACCCUACUAUUAAAGGUGUAAAAUAUAUAAUUAGACAAUUAAUAGUUAUGAUCUUUAAAUUCAAAGAAUUUGGCGGUAAUUUAUCUUUUCAGAGGAACCUGUUCUGUAAUUGAUAAUCCACGAUAUAAUUUACUUUACUUAUACUUGUAUAUCUCUGUCAAGAAUGUUCUAUAAGGAAAUUUUCAUUAAUUCUAUUUAUUUUAUGUCAGGUCAAGGUGCAGUUAAUUUUAAAGUAGAAAUGGGUUACAUUUAAUUAUUUUUGGAUUAAUAUUAAAAUGAAAUAUUAUGAAAUAGGAUUUGAUAGUAAAUUUAUUAAAUUAAAUUAAUUGAAUAAAGCUCUGAGUUAUGUACACAUCGCCCGUCACUCUCAUUCUAAGAUGAGAUAAGUCGUAACAAAGUAGUUGUACCGGAAGGUGUAGCUAGAAUGA
rnacentral:ncRNA from 1 species